GUGCAGCAGUCGCGAAAACUCUGCAAUACGCGAAAGCGUGACAGGGCUACCCCGAGUGUCGUCCGCUGAGGACGACUUUUCCACGCUGUAAGGAGGCGUGGGAAUAAGGAGAGGGCAAGUCUGGUGUCAGCCGCCGCGGUAAUACCAGCUCUCCGAGUGGUAGGGACGAUUAUUGGGCUUAAAGCGUCCGUAGCCGGCUCAGCAAGUCUCCCGUUAAAUCCAACGAUUCAAUCGUUGGACUGCGGGAGAUACUGUUGAGCUAGGAGGCGGGAGAGGCCGACGGUAUUUCCGGGGUAGGGGUAAAAUCCUAUAAUCCCGGGAAGACCACCAGUGGCGAAGGCGGGUAGCCAGAACGCGCUCGACGGUGAGGGGCGAAAGCUGGGGGAGCGAACCGGAUUAGAUACCCCUGUAGUCC
rnacentral:rRNA from 1 species